AUUUAUCACAGAUUACACGGCCGAAGGAAACGCAGUACCGAUCCAUGUGUUACAAUCAGAUCUAGACUGAGUCUUCAUGCAGUACAUUCUGGAAUGAGGAACACCGCAUGCAUUGUGGUCCAAAUUGAUGGCAUUGACUUAACACAAAGCAGAAAGGAAUGAAGAGAAAUUAAGAAGUUUAUGUUUCACAUUAAUUAAGAUUAUUCGAGAUAUGUUAUCUGUCGAGGUAUACAACAUUUCCUUUCAUAAUAAAAGUGUAAACAUUAAUAUAUAUACAAAAAAAAAUCAUGUAUAUAAUCUAAAAAUCCUUGUUAGUUAUUUGUUGUACUAGCAAAAAAUAUAAUAUAGUCGUCUCAAGCUUGGUUGUAUUGAAAUCCCCGGGGACAGAGAUAUAUCACUACAGUACGUGCUACAUCAAACAACACACCAUUGUUCAAUUGUCAAUCAACAUUUCAUUUAGUCAGUAUUUAGAAUUGAUUCCAAAAUUAUGAUAAUCUUUUCACAGUUUAUUAGAAAUAAUGUUAAAUUCGAUAGAAGUCUUCGACUGUUGCUCGUUUUUGUUUAUUUUAAGUUCACGGACACACAUGAAAACAGUUUCCAGUACAUCUGGGCUACUUCGAGGAAACUACGUAUACUGUCUGAAAUCAGUCUUGUGCGUCGGUGACAAAAUGUGUACAUAUCCUACUAUAACUCUGCUGGAAAAUAUUAUUUUGUACUAUUUUCCUACUAUUUUAGA